rnacentral:rRNA from 1 species
UUGCUGGUUGGCUCACCGGCUUCGGGUAAAACCGACUUUCGUGGUGUGACGGGCGGUGUGUACAAGGCCCGGGAACGCAUUCACCCGAGCAUGCUGAUCUCGAAUUACUAGCGAUUCCAACUUCAUGCAGUCGAGUUGCAGACUGCAAUCCGGACUGGGACGCGUUUUUUGGGAUUGGCUCCACCUCGCGGUCUCGCUCCCCUUUGUGCGCGCCAUUGUAGUACGUGUGUAGCCCUAGGCGUAAGGGCCAUGAUGACUUGACGUCGUCCCCACCUUCCUCCCGGUUAACCCGGGCAGUCUGAAUAGAGUGCCCAACAUUACUUGCUGGCAACUAUCCAUAGGGGUUGCGCUCGUUGCGGGACUUAACCCAACAUCUCACGACACGAGCUGAUGACAGCCAUGCAGCACCUGUCUCACGGCUCCCCGAAGGGCACCCCUCCUUUUCGGGAGGGUUCCGUGGAUGUCAAACCUAGGUAAGGUUCUUCGCGUUGCAUCGAAUUAAACCACAUACUCCACCGCUUGUGCGGGCCCCCGUCAAUUUCUUUGA